rnacentral:rRNA from 1 species
UACGAAGGGGGCUAGCGUUGCUCGGAAUUACUGGGCGUAAAGCGCACGUAGGCGGCUUUUUAAGUCAGGGGUGAAAUCCUGGAGCUCAACUCCAGAACUGCCUUUGAUACUGGGAAGCUUGAGUCCGGGAGAGGUGAGUGGAACUCCGAGUGUAGAGGUGAAAUUCGUAGAUAUUCGGAAGAACACCAGUGGCGAAGGCGGCUCACUGGCCCGGUACUGACGCUGAGGUGCGAAAGCGUGGGGAGCAAACAGG